GGGGAUGUAACUCAAUUUGUAGAGUGCUUACUUGGCAUGCAAUAGGCCCUGGGUUCAAUUCCCAACACAGCUA
rnacentral:tRNA from 1 species